rnacentral:rRNA from 1 species
GGGUGAGUAACACGUGAGCAACCUGCCUUUCAGAGAGGGAUAGCUUCUGGAAACGGAUGGUAAUACCUCAUAACAUACGGAUUCGGCAUCGUUUCUGUAUCAAAGAUUUAUCGCUGAAAGAUGGGCUCGCGUCUGAUUAGCUGGUUGGUGAGGUAACGGCCCACCAAGGCAACGAUCAGUAGCCGGACUGAGAGGUUGAACGGCCACAUUGGGACUGAGACACGGCCCAGACUCCUACGGGAGGCAGCAGUGGGGAAUAUUGCACAAUGGGCGCAAGCCUGAUGCAGCGAUGCCGCGUGAGGGAAGAAGGUUUUCGGAUUGUAAACCUCUGUCAUCGGGGACGAAAAUGACGGUACCCGAGAAGGAAGCUCCGGCUAACUACGUGCCAGCAGCCGCGGUAAUACGUAGGGAGCAAGCGUUAUCCGGAAUUACUGGGUGUAAAGGGAGUGUAGGCGGGACUGUAAGUCAGAUGUGAAAUAUGCCGGCUCAACUGGCAGACUGCAUUUGAAACUGCGGUUCUUGAGUGAAGUAGAGGUAAGCGGAAUUCCUAGCGUAGCGGUGAAAUGCGUAGAUAUUAGGAGGAACAUCAGUGGCGAAGGCGGCUUACUGGGCUUUAACUG